rnacentral:rRNA from 1 species
GAGGAAAGUCUGGUGCCAGCAGCCGCGGUAAUUCCAGCUCCAAUAGCGUAUACUAAAGUUGUUGCAGUUAAAAAGCUCGUAGUUGGACAUGUGCGCGCUGGCGCUUAGCGGUCUGCACUCAAAAGAGUGUCGCGACAUGCGGCGCCGGCGCCGUAAAAUCUUCAACUGGAUCGCGUCUGGCCUUGAUUGGCUCGGGCGCUGCCAUUCGGUUGGUCGUUUACUGUGAGAAAAUUAGAGUGUUCAAGGCAGGCAUGAUUGCAAUUGAAUAUGUUAGCAUGGAAUAAUAAGAUAAGGCUUCGGCCUCUUUGUUGGUUUCUAAGGCCGAAGUAAUGAUUGAUAGGGACAGUUGGGG